rnacentral:rRNA from 1 species
UACGUAGGGCGCAAGCGUUGUCCGGAAUUAUUGGGCGUAAAGAGCUCGUAGGCGGUCUGUCACGUCUGCUGUGAAAACCCGGGGCUUAACCCCGGGCUUGCAGUGGAUACGGGCAGACUAGAGGCAGGUAGGGGAGAAUGGAAUUCCCGGUGUAGCGGUGAAAUGCGUUGAUAUCAGGAGGAACACCCAUGGCGAAGGCAGCAAACUGGGCAUCAUCUGACGCUGAGGCGCGAAAGCGUGGGUAGCAAACAGG